GAACCUACCGCCAAUCUCCGAUUUGUCCGAGUCCAGCACCUCAACUGAUAAUGAUUCGGAGGAAGAUAAAAGUGAUGACGAAGACGUGGAAAGAAAGGUUACUGUACAGGAGACAAAGGCUACCGUACCAUUAGCUGCUGCAAAGAAAACGAGGAAAGAAGUGCGGAUAGAAUCUGGAAGUAAUAAGAAAAAGAAAUCAGCCUCAAAAUCCCGCGGCAAUGUGGUGAUGCGUGUUCGAAGGGAACCCGAAGUUGGCAGUGACACGGGUGACGUGGAUAUCUACGAUGAUGGAGACGGGCGGCCUAGCGAUGAUGAAGAGGAAAAGAAGCCGAAUGACAAGGAGACCGCCUCAACGCCUACAAAUCGUCGAUAUAUUCACGAACGGGCGAUUUUCCAGGAGUUGACCCAUUUAAAACGAAUGCAAAUUCAGUAUGGAAAGGUACUGAUUGCAAGAAAGAAUGCGAGGGCGCUUUUUCGCAACUACUACCAUCCCGGCACGGAACAGGUGCAAGAAAAAGUUCUCGUCCGUUCCCUAAUCUCGAAUUUUUGCAAAAUGCACAACCUAGACGUUCGCAAUUUCAAAUUCACAACUUUCUACGCCUGGGAACGGUUUCUAUAUGAUGCUCUUUCCGAGCAGCUUAAGAUCAUAUAUUUGGAGGAGCGGGAACGACUUUCUGAGACGAAUAGUGAAAUGAAGCCCAGUGGUUCUAUGAAGUUGAAUAAAUUUGACUCAAAAAUCCGCAACAGUGUUCCAAUAAACGACAAGUUCCAUGACAUGCAACGAAUCUACACCCACGCUGCAAUAACCCAAAAAUCGACCGGAAAACCACGUGGCAAGAGUGCAAAGCCCAUCGAGAGCUCCAGGAAGCGAAUUACAAGACCCUGGUAUUGA
rnacentral:misc_RNA from 1 species